rnacentral:misc_RNA from 1 species
UCACAGUUUGCACUGGCAGUCUGGUUAGAGUUCCCGACUUGACUCGCUGGCAACUAACCACAGGGGUUGCGCUCGUUAUAGGACUUAACCUGACACCUCACGGCACGAGCUGACGACAGCCAUGCAGCACCUGUGUACGCUCCCUUGCAGGUCCUUCACCUUUCGGAUCCGUACCACGUACAUGUCAAGCCUAGGUAAGGUUCUUCGCUUAGCAUCGAAUUAAACCACACGCUCCGCUGCUUGUGCGGGCCCCCGUCAAUUCCUUUGAGUUUCAGCCUUGCGGCCGUACUCCCCAGGCGGAGUGCUUAUUGUGUUAACGUCGGCACUAAGGGCAUCGAAACCCCUAACACCUAGCACUCAUCGUUUACGGCGUGGACUAC